rnacentral:lncRNA from 1 species
AUAACCUCUACUCCCAAAAGCUCAAAUUUUGGGCUUUUACUAGUAGAGGUAAAUUAGCUUAUUUAAGCUAAAAAAACUCUACUAAAAAAAUAACCAAACACCAUAAAAAUUUUUAAAAAAUGCUUAUACGAUUAAAUAAGCACUUAUGGCUCUUAAAUAAGCCAUACCAAACAGGCACUAAUAAUAAGGCUACUCUCCGGCGGCAAGGAAAGAAAUAUUCUUCACCAAGAAAGGUAAUGAAGUAACUCCAUUAGAGUUAGUCCGGGUAAAGGGAAGAAUCCAAUCAGCAGCUAGUUUUGGGAUCAAGGCGUUUUCACUUUAACUAAGAGGUUUCGAAGAAUCUUUGUCUUUCCGCUUCAAAGAGAGAGUGGGGAUUGGAGCCCCCACAAAGCUUUGGGAAAUUAAUGCCUUUUCUCGGCCGCUCCAUUCAAAAGGACCCUUUCUCAAAAGGCCCAUCUACGGUGCACCAACGGGAAGGGGUAAAGUCAAGUUCAUUAUAGACGAGCAGUUUGUCACCAUCUUGUUUAAUGACCAAAAAAAAAAAAGGUGCAUAAGAAUUCUCUAAAAACAAGUCUGUUGUCGCAACCAUGGACUUAGCUAUGGUGCAACUGUGGUACCAUAUCACAGUUGCACGCCAUCGGAUCUAGCCAUUUGUACUCACCAUACUUAGAUCAAAUGGUUGAAAACAAUUAUGGGAUGCUACCACAAUUGCACCAUAGUUGAACCCCGCACUCAUUCCUUAAUGUUUCCGUUGAAAGUUAAUUAGAUCCAACAGCUAGAGACAUAACAACAAGAGUGAUUUAAUUGUAAAUUUUUUGAAAAUACAGUGAUUAAUUGAGUAAUUAGCUUAACUAUAAGGAUCGAAAGAACAUUUAUCUAAUUAAAUUAAUAUUUGUUUACGUGAACUUGUAAGCGACAAUGAUAGCUGCGAAGGGACAAACAAUUUGCAUAAAUUCUGGUGUGAAAUUUCACACAAUGUACGUUCUGAUUUCUAAAUAUGUGUUUAACUGUUGCAUGCCAGGUUUGUUUAAAUUUUAUGUUUCAUUAAAUAAAAUUAUUACUCUUUCCUUAAAAAUUAGUUAAAUUUAGGGUGGGUAAUGGGAUGGAAUAUGAAGGGAUUUGUCAAUCCCAGUUCAGUCCCAUUUAUGAAAAUGGAAUAAGAAAAAUCUUAUUUCCGUCCCUUUAUUUUUUUGAAGACAAAAAUUACUCUCGUCCUGUUAAAUAUCUCGUCCCAUCUCAUUAUCCUAAAUAGUCCCAAAUGUAAAUAAAUAAAUUUUGAUUUUUUUCUUUUAAAAAUCAUCAUAAUUCAAUAUAGCAAAAAUCUUGAAUAAAUAUAAAGUAGAAUAAUCAAAUAAUAAUUUCAUUUUGACUACAUGCAUGUUCGAAUAUAAUUUCAGACUCAAAACUUUUUAUCUGUUUGUUUGCUUCAAUUGCACAUUAACAUUAAGACUUACACUUUAAAAACUAUAGAUUUGGACAGUAAUCAACUUCAGCCAUGUUAAAAAUCUAAUAAUUUAAUAAUAUAAUAAUAAACCAAACCAAUAACUAGGGUUGGCAACGGGAUGAGGUGGGACGGGAUUUGCCAAUUUCAAUCAUGUCCCACAUAUGUAAAUGGGACAAAAAAGAUCUAAUUCCCUCCCCUUUAUUUUUUUUGGGAUAAAAAUAUAUUUCAAUCUCGUCCCCUGCAAGAUCCCAUCCCAAUAGAAGAAUUGACAUCCCUAGUUAGAUUCAAUAGCUAUCACCAAUGUAACGACAAGAGUGUAUUGAUUAAAAAAUUUCUGAAAACAAAUACACUAAUUGAAUAAUUAAUUAGCUUCAAUUAUAAGGGUUAGAAGAGUAUUUAUCCUAUAAAAUUAAGGGUGAUGAUAUUUCCACUCUACAAAAUUUUUAUAACCCAUCCCAUUUUUUAAAAAUUAUUAAAACAAGUUCACAUUAUUUUUUAAAGUUCAAAUCAAGAAGGAAUUCAAAAAUUAAUCAAUUAAAUCCAUAUUCAUUUGUUGAGACUAUUUUUUUUAUUAUAUUUGAUCAAUAAAUUUUUUAUGCAAAAAAAUUUACUUUAAUAAUUUUUUAUGCAAUUUUUUCUAUUUUAAUGACGUGUAAGUGGUAAUUUAUUUGAUAUUCAUUUAUUUAUUUAAGAUUAUGUUUGAUCAAUAAGGUUGCUUUAACAUAAAGUGAUAUGACUAUUUUACCCUCAUGAGGUAAAAGUGCCAAAGUAUCUAAAAAUUUACUUUAACUUUAAUUAUUUUUUAUACAAUUUUUUUUGUAUUUUAAUAAUGUAUAAGUAGUAAUUUGUUAAUAUGAUUAUUAAUAUUCCACUAAACUAACAAGAUAUAAUUAGGACAUGUGGAGUAUGGAAAAUUAUUAAAUUUUAUAUAAAAUAUGUUAGAUUAUAAAAUAUAAAACUAAAUUCCCAAACAAUAUAUAUAUAUAUAUAUAUAUAUUCCGACUUUGAAUGUAGAAGGUAUAGAAUUAUGUUCACUGUUUUUUACUUUUUCAGUAUGACAUCUUUACCAUAGUAAAGUCUUGUAACUCGGCACCACUCUCUAACUGAUAAGCGUAUCAAAUCCUCACUCAUUUGAAACCACAACUGAUCUUUUUUGUUACUUUUUCUAUUGGCCACUUGCCUAAGAAACAUGUUAUGCACAAUUAUAAUAUUGAAUUGAAAGUUUCAGCACUUCAUGAAAUGCCCAAAUAUUUCAUCCUUUAAUAGUUUCAACUGUCGUUUUGUUAAUUUUUCCCAAAUAACUUUUACAACCGUAUCUAAUUUACACAUAAUUGUGAUACGUCUGGAGAAGUGAUCACCAUAAGGUACCUUCAUCAUGCCCGGUUCAUUCGUCGGUCUGGGUGGAUUAUAAUUUUUUAUUUUCAAUUUCGCCAUUUAUCUAAUAUAAGUUACAUAAUUAAAUUGUUACAUUACAUGUCAAUAAAUCCACAACAUUAACAACAACACAAAAAAAAUACACACAUUUCACUACAUUACAAGACAAAAUAUAAUGCAUGAGCGUAUGUUUUUUUUAACUUUUAAUUCAUCCCUUUUUGAAAAUUAAAAGAUUUUCUUCUUAUAAAGAAGCAUGAUUGAGUAAUAGGUCAAGAGAAUAUUUGAUAGAUUUAACAGAGAAAACGAACUUGCAAUAGAUUGAACCGAAGAAAUAAUCCGAUUUCAGCUUUGUAUGACCCACGCGUGGCAUUUUCUUAUCAAAACUUGUCUCUGGCCUUGAUAGGCUUAAUGUGCAUCACGUCUGCGCCAUUACAAUGGAAUGUCAUUGUCAAAGAUGGGCCAUAAACACGUUUUUUGUCGAAAUCAUUUAAAUUAUAAACACGUUUUUUUUGUCGAAAUCAUUUAAAUUUUAUGUUAUAUUAGAUAAAAUUAUAAUUGUUUCACAACUUAUUAUAGCACACUUCCGCGCCACCCCCCGCGGGUGGUUCACUCACUGAAGGGAGAUUAAUAAUAAGGCUACUCUCUGGAGGCAAGGAAAGAAAUAUUGUUCACGGAGAAAGGUAGUAAAGUAACCUCCAUUCUCGAUUUCUAUUGUGACAGGGGGAGUAGUUGAGUCAAAAUCACACAAUUAGUGUUAGUCCGGAUAAAAGGAAGAACCCAAUCCGCAGCUAGUCUUGGGAUCAAGGCGUAUUCACUUUAAUCAAGAGGUUUCGAAGAAUCUAUGCCUUUCCGCUUCAAAGAAAGAGGUGGGGAGAACCAUCAGUUGGAGCCCCCAUAACGCUAUGGGAAAUUAAUGCCUUUUCUGGGCCGUAACAUUCGAAAGGGCCCUUUCUCAUGAGGCCCAUCUACGGUGCACCAAAGGGGAGGGGUAAAGUCAAAUUCAUUAUCGACGACCAGUUAGUCACCAUCUUGUUUAAUGACACAAAAAAUAGGGUGCAUAAGAAUUCUCUAAAGACACGUCUGUUGUCGCAUCCAUUCCUUAAUUUUUCCGUCGAAAAUUAAUUAGAUCCAACAGCUAGAGACAUAACGACAAGAGUGAUUUAAUUAUAAAAGUUUUGAAAAUACAGUGACUAAUUGAGUAAUUAGCUUAACUAUAAAGAUUGAAAGAAUAUUUAUCCAAUUAAAUUAAUAUUUGUUUGCGUGAACCUGUAAGCGACAAUGAUAGCGAUGAAGGGACAAACAAUUUGCACAAAUUCUGGUGCGAAAUUUCACACAAUCUACGUUUUGAUUUCUGAAUAUAUGUUUAACUGUUGCAUGUCAGGUUUGUUUAAAUUUUACGUUUUAUUAAAUAAAAUUUUUAUUCUUUACUUAAGGAUUAGUUAGAUUUAGGGUUGGUAAUGUGAUGAAAUAUGACGAGAUUUGUCAAUCUCAGUCUAGUCUUAUAUAUAAAAGUAGGAUAAAAAAAAUUCUCAUUUCCUUCCUUUUAUUUUUUUAAGAUAAAAAUUUAUCCGAGUUCCGUCCCGUUAAAUAUCUUGUCCCAUCUCAUUAUC